rnacentral:misc_RNA from 1 species
AAAAUGCGAUAAGUAAUGUGACUUGCAGAAUUCAGUGAAUCAUCGAAUCUUUGAACGCACAUUGCGCCCGCCAGUAUUCUGGCGGGCAUGCCUGUUCGAGCGUCAUUUCAACCCUCAAGCCCCCGGGUUUGGUGUUGGGGAUCGGGCUGCGGUUCUACCGCGUCCCGGCCCCGAAAUCUAGUGGCGGUCUCGCUGCAGCCUCCAUUGCGUAGUAGCUAACACCUCGCAACUGGAACGCGGCGCGGCCAAGCCGUUAAACCCCCAACUUCUGAAUGUUGACCUCGGAUCAGGUAGGAAUACCCGCUGAACUUAAGC